AAGUGUAUAGCUCAGUGGUAGAGUGCCUGCUUACCAUGCAUGAGUUCCUGGGUUCAAUCCCCAGUACCUCUU
rnacentral:tRNA from 1 species